UAGGGAAUCUUCCACAAUGGACGAAAGUCUGAUGGAGCAACGCCGCGUGAGUGAAGAAGGGUUUCGGCUCGUAAAACUCUGUUGUUAAAGAAGAACAUAUCUGGGAUAACUGUUCAGGUAUUGACGGUAUUUAACCAGAAAGCCACGGCUAACUACGUGCCCG
rnacentral:rRNA from 1 species